CAAGAACAGAACACCGUCAACAAAAAAAAAAUCACUGAAUUUCGAUAGGAACAAAAUCAACAAUCAACAUUGUGCAAUCACUCAUUCAAUCAACAAAACAAUCCAAACAAAAGGGGAAUGUACAAUCACUCCUUCAACCAACAAAACAAUCAGACAGAGAGCGACAAAGCUUACCGGUCGCCGGAGCGUUUCAGAGAGGGAGAAAGCUUCGCCGUCACCGGUGAGACAAGCGUCGCCGGCAGUUACACACACUAGAGUGGGAGGAGAAGCGGAGCAGGUAUACUAUCUGGAUUUUUUCUAGAGAAAUGCUAUAUGUCCCGAAAAAAAAAUAGAUCGCGAAAAACUCACGAAUAGCUUUUAUAUUUUUUUUUCAAUAAAAAUUAAAAAGAAAAUAGGAAGAACAACAAACAACCAAAAAGAACCACCGCCAUGUUUCU
rnacentral:lncRNA from 1 species